AAGGCGUUCAAUAUUAUGAAGCUUUUGCGAAAAUUUGGGUUAGAGGGUUUUAUCGAAGAGCUUGGACCCACAAAUGAUACUAAUGGGUGGAAUACUAAAGGUGUGUGUUACUUACCGGCUGCCAGGGUGCUGGUGAAUUCUUUAAAUAGGUUGUUGGAUGAACAUCCAUACACAUUCUUCUUUAGAGUUUCAUUCAUCUCAAUAACAGUUCUGGCCCUUUGGUACUUCACCUCGCAAGUACGUUUGUAAAAUGCUCCUCAAGAACAAAGAGAGUUUGAUUCUUUUCCUUGACAUUGGUUCAUACUACAAAGAUUAUGUUGAUACAACUUAUAAGUUUUGAUGUAACUUUCAAAGUAAUAUUUAAACUGACAAGCAUCUAUACAUUGCCAUUUUUAUGCUCCACCA